CCUACGGGAGGCAGCAGUGAGGAAUAUUGGUCAAUGGCCGGGAGGCUGAACCAGCCAAGUCGCGUGAGGGAAGACGGCCCUACGGGUUGUAAACCUCUUUUGUCAGGGAGCAAGGUGCAGGUCGGGACCUGCUGUGAUAGUACCUGAAGAAAAAGCAUCGUCUAACCCCGUGCCAGCAGCCGCGGUAAUACGGAGGAUGCGAGCGUAAUCCGGAUUUAUUGGGUUUAAGGGUGCGCAGGCGGAGGCAUAAGUCAGCGGUAAAAUCGCGGGGCUCAACCCCGCUCCGACGUUGAAACUGUGUCCAUUGAGUGCGCGAAGGGUAGGCGGAAUGCGUGGUGUAGCGGUGAAAUGCAUAGAUAUCACGCAGAACUCCGAUCGCGAAGGCAGCCCACCGGCGCGCAACUGACGCUCAUGCACGAAAGCGUGGGUAUCGAACAGGAUUAGAUACCCCUGUAGUC
rnacentral:rRNA from 1 species